rnacentral:rRNA from 1 species
GCAGUCGCCGCGGGAAUACGUAGGUGGCAAGCGUUGUCCGGAAUUAUUGGGCGUAAAGGGCUCGCAGGCGGUUUCUUAAGUCUGAUGUGAAAGCCCCCGGCUCAACCGGGGAGGGUCAUUGGAAACUGGGAAACUUGAGUGCAGAAGAGGAGAGUGGAAUUCCACGUGUAGCGGUGAAAUGCGUAGAGAUGUGGAGGAACACCAGUGGCGAAGGCGACUCUCUGGUCUGUAACUGACGCUGAGGAGCGAAAGCGUGGGGAGCGAACAGGAUUAGAUACCCCAGUAGUCCCUGUCUCUUAUAC